rnacentral:sRNA from 1 species
AAACAAUUGUUUCGAUCCAAACUUCUAAUGGUAACUCUGUCCCCAAUCUUUUUUUAUAAAUCAACUCUGCAACAUAUGUGGGUUGCUAACUUGUUAUACAAUUAUACAUUUUUUUUGUUUUUCUACUAAAAUGACUUUUUAAUUAUUGACGGUUCAUACUUAACAAGCAACUGAGUCACAAACAUAUAUAUCAUAACCAUUAAUAAAUUGUAAACGAGGUGGUAAUAUAGGAAAUUUGAAUAUUUGUACAACAUCCAGAUUCUUCCGCAGGUCUCUCUUUGCUAAGGUAAUAAUGUUUUACAACUCAUAGAACUUUAUAAAUCAACUUUGAAAAAAAUAUGUGGGUUGUGUCGCUAGACCGGCACAAAAAUCUUAGGCGAUGAAUCAUUGGUUUGAAUCGAAAAAUUAAUUACGUUAGACACCCGUUUCCUCCGUGAGUUUGUACUACUAUGUUUUUAUUUGUACUACUAUAUGUUUUUAGUAUUAUUGAUGAUUACUAAUUAUUUUAUUCUGUGUAAUAAAAUUAAUUUAAACCUAUUUGAUAUUGUUUAAUACUUAUAUUUUGCUUAUGAUUUGCUCAUAUACAUUUUUUAAAUUCUUUUAUUCUUUUAUUAUGAAAAUGUAUCUUUAGUCACUAGCCUUUUAAUUUUCUUCUCUUUUCUUGUUAUGGAACCCUUUUUCUUCCUUUUUUAUUUU